UCUUCAUUAGUAUAACGGUUAGUAUAACCGCUUCUCAGUACCUAGUCUUUCUAGUCAGUUCGCGGUAGACCAGGGUUCAACUCCCUGAUGGAGAA
rnacentral:tRNA from 1 species